AUUAUAUGCUAGGAUAGUGGGAUUCAAGUUAAAAAUUCCUUCCCAAAAUGAAGAAAGAUCUUUAUAUUUUUAAUGGCUUAACUUUUCUUUUCUUUUAAAAUGAAAUGAUCUUUAUAUUUUUACUGGCUUACCUUCUUCCACUCUAUCUACUCCUGAGAGUCUGAAUCACAGUCACACGAAAGAAAGAAACUAAACGCAGAGAGAGAGAGAGAGAGAGAGCAGAAGAAUGGCAACGGUGUCGUGGAACCUAGGUGCAUAUCAGAAGGUGUGACCUUAAUCACCAAUUCACAGAGACACCAGCACUUCAUGUAACAUGCAGAAAGAAAGAAAGGGACAGAGAUCAUUCCUACCCUUAUAAAGUCGUUGACAUCACACCUCCUCCAAAGAACCUCGGAAUUCGUUGCUUUCCCACUCUCGCUCCCUGACUCUACUUGCUUGCAAUCAAAUUAUAGUCAGAAAUCUCCGAGAUUAUGACCUUAUAAUGACACUACAAACGAAAAGGCUAUGUUAGGUCUUUCAUAGAAGAAAAAAGAUAAAGAGAACCCAACAUGAAGUUUGAAUGGAUAUAUAUGGAAAGCUAGAGCAAAGGAAAGUUGGAGGUCGCAACAUAGAUAAGGGUACAAAUCCCUGAGAUUCGUUUUACCUGCUUGCCAAUACAAGAGCUACUUUUAAAGGAAAACGAAGAGGAAGAAAGAUCAGCUUUUGUGAUUUUUAUACGCUGUCCAGGAAUCAUCUGUUCCACAAAUGGGGGCUCCCCAUAAGGACAUGUCUUUAUAACUGAAGACAUUACAGCAUGUUGGAUGAGGCUGGGGAAAAAGUUCAGAGACAUUAUUGUUUGCAGAUCACAUUAUUGUUUGAAGGGUAUUGGUUUUUCAAUCACUAAAGACUUGUUGUUCUCUCCUUUGCUGAUUUUAGCUACUUGUAUUGGGAUAAAUCCCGUGUUCUGUGUGUCCUCUGAACUGGGAAAAGACUGAUGGUUACGGUAUGGGGCCAAGUCACGAAACAAUGAGCCGUAAAUGUCAAAUGUACCUUUAUGAUUUCUAAUAGAAGAAACCAAAAUGCAGACCCUUCCUUGUGGUCUGUGUACUCUAAAACAGAAACUUAACUCCAGUGAUCUGUCUGUCUGUAGUCAUCCUGUCGCAUGCCAGUGUCAUUAUUCGACCUCAGGGAUAGAAUCAGAUGGAUUUGGUGCUGGUGUU